UGGGGGAUAUUGCACAAUGGGGGGAACCCUGAUGCAGCGACGCCGCGUGAGUGAAGAAGUAUUUCGGUAUGUAAAGCUCUAUCAGCAGGAACGAAAAUGACGGUACCUGACUAAGAAGCCCCGGCUAACUACGUGCCAGCAGCCGCGGUAAUACGUAGGGGGCAAGCGUUAUCCGGAUUUACUGGGUGUAAAGGGAGCGUAGACGGCAAUGCAAGUCUGGAGUGAAAGCCCAGGGCCCAACCAUGGGACUGCUCUGGAAACUGUAUAGCUUGAGUGCAGGAGGGGUAAGCGGAAUUCCUAGUGUAGCGGUGAAAUGCGUAGAUAUUAGGAGGAACACCGGUGGCGAAGGCGGCUUACUGGACUGCAACUGACGUUGAGGCUCGAAGGCGUGGGGAGCAAACAGG
rnacentral:rRNA from 1 species